rnacentral:rRNA from 1 species
AAUGCAGUCGAGCGAACAGACGAGGAGCUUGCUCCUCUGACGUUAGCGGCGGACGGGUGAGUAACACGUGGAUAACCUACCUAUAAGACUGGGAUAACUUCGGGAAACCGGAGCUAAUACCGGAUAAUAUAUUGAACCGCAUGGUUCAAUAGUGAAAGACGGUUUUGCUGUCACUUAUAGAUGGAUCCGCGCCGCAUUAGCUAGUUGGUAAGGUAACGGCUUACCAAGGCAACGAUGCGUAGCCGACCUGAGAGGGUGAUCGGCCACACUGGAACUGAGACACGGUCCAGACUCCUACGGGAGGCAGCAGUAGGGAAUCUUCCGCAAUGGGCGAAAGCCUGACGGAGCAACGCCGCGUGAGUGAUGAAGGUCUUCGGAUCGUAAAACUCUGUUAUUAGGGAAGAACAAAUGUGUAAGUAACUAUGCACGUCUUGACGGUACCUAAUCAGAAAGCCACGGCUAACUACGUGCCAGCAGCCGCGGUAAUACGUAGGUGGCAAGCGUUAUCCGGAAUUAUUGGGCGUAAAGCGCGCGUAGGCGGUUUUUUAAGUCUGAUGUGAAAGCCCACGGCUCAACCGUGGAGGGUCAUUGGAAACUGGAAAACUUGAGUGCAGAAGAGGAAAGUGGAAUUCCAUGUGUAGCGGUGAAAUGCGCAGAGAUAUGGAGGAACACCAGUGGCGAAGGCGACUUUCUGGUCUGUAACUGACGCUGAUGUGCGAAAGCGUGGGGAUCAAACAGGAUUAGAUACCCUGGUAGUCCACGCCGUAAACGAUGAGUGCUAAGUGUUAGGGGGUUUCCGCCCCUUAGUGCUGCAGCUAACGCAUUAAGCACUCCGCCUGGGGAGUACGACCGCAAGGNUGAUACUCAAAGGAAUUGACGGGGACCCGCU